rnacentral:misc_RNA from 1 species
GAGAUGCGAUAAGUAGUGUGAAUUGCAGAAUUCAGUGAAUCAUCGAAUCUUUGAACGCACAUUGCGCCCUUUGGUAUUCCAAAGGGCAUGCCUGUUCGAGCGUCAUUUGUACCCUCAAGCUUUGCUUGGUGUUGGGCGUCUUGUCUCUAGCUUUGCUGGAGACUCGCCUUAAAGUAAUUGGCAGCCGGCCUACUGGUUUCGGAGCGCAGCACAAGUCGCACUCUCUAUCAGCAAAGGUCUAGCAUCCAUUAAGCCUUUUUUCAACUUUUGACCUCGGAUCAGGUAGGGAUACCCGCUGAACUUAAGC